rnacentral:rRNA from 1 species
UACAGAGGUCCCAAGCGUUGUUCGGAUUCAUUGGGCGUAAAGGGUGCGUAGGUGGCGCCGUAAGUCAGGUGUGAAAUCUCGGAGCUUAACUCCGAAACUGCAUUCGAUACUGCCGUGCUUGAGGACUGGAGAGGAGACUGGAAUUUACGGUGUAGCGGUGAAAUGCGUAGAUAUCGUAAGGAAGACCAGUGGCGAAGGCGGGUCUCUGGACAGUUCCUGACGCUGAGGCACGAAGGCCAGGGGAGCAAACGGG